rnacentral:rRNA from 1 species
UACGGGGGUGCGAGCGUUGUCCGGAAUCACUGGGCGUAAAGGGCGCGUAGGUGGCUUGGUAAGCGCGUGGUGAAAGCCCGGGGCUCAACCCCGGGUCCUGCCAUGUGAACUACUAUGGCUUGAGCACUGUAGAGGCAGGUAGAAUUCCGGGUGUAGCGGUGGAAUGCGUAGAGAAUCCGGAAGAAUACCGGUGGCGAAGGCGGCCUGCUGGGCAGUGGCUGACAGCUGAGGCGACGACAGCGUGGGGAGCAAACAGG